UGUUCCUAUUUCCUUUAAAGUUUAUUCAUAAAAAAAUUUAAAAAAAAAAAAAAAGAAAAAAAAAAAAAAACAAGACAAAAACAAAAAAAAACGCCACACAGUCAGGUGUUCAUUUUGAACCCCACUGACCAUCUAGUCAAUCUCAAAAUACAUGCUGAACAACAUGUAGCUAUCAUUUACCAUGAGGCAUAAUGCCCAUGCAAGAGGACAGAUAUGGAGUUUGAAAUGCCAGAUAUGCCUGUUCAGCUGUGACGGACCAUAAGAACAUUCUAGAAUGUCUGGGAAUAGUGACAUUAAGCCUGAUCUGGCCAGUGAUCCUGACUGAAGUGAUUGAGGAACAUCUGCAGUCUUUCUUCUGUGGUAUGAGCUAAGGAGCUUCAUCCCACUCAGGGACAGGAAAAAGGUACCGAACAACAAGAAACUGGAUUUCGUGGAAAUAUCUAAAGUUUACAGCUCAACGCUCUCGACAGAUCAGAGAAAGAUGAUUACCCUAAACAUUAUAAGGUUCGUCGCGGUGUAGAGAAAGAGACAAGUCGUUCUGUCAUCACUUCAAGUGCAUAAUAAUAAC
ensembl:lncRNA